UCGGGAAUUUUGGGCAAUGGGCGAAAGCCUGACCCAGCAACGCCGCGUGAGGGAUGAAGUAUUUCGGUAUGUAAACCUCGAAAGAAUGGGAAGAAUAAAUGACGGUACCAUUAUAAGCUCCGGCUAACUACGUGCCAGCAGCCGCGGUAAUGUGUAGGGAGCAAGCGUUGUUCGGAUUUACUGGGCGUAAAGGGCGCGUAGGCGGCGCGGUAAGUCACUUGUGAAAUCUCUGAGCUUAACUCAGAACGGCCAAGUGAUACUGCUGUGCUAGAGUGCGGAAGAGGCAACCGGAAUUCUUGGUGUAGCGGUGAAAUGCGUAGAUAUCAAGAGGAACACCUGAGGCGAAGGCGGGUUGCUGGGCCGACACUGACGCUGAUGCGCGAAAGCCAGGGGAGCAAACG
rnacentral:rRNA from 1 species